CCUACGGGUGGCAGCAGUGAGGAAUAUUGGUCAAUGGGCGUAAGCCUGAACCAGCCAAGUCGCGUGAGGGAUGAAGGUUCUAUGGAUCGUAAACUUCUUCUAUAAGGGAAUAAAGUGUGGGACGUGUCCUAUUUUGUAUGUACCUUAUGAAUAUGGAUCGGCUAACUCCGUGCCAGCAGCCGCGGUAAUACGGAGGAUCCGAGCGUUAUCCGGAUUUAUUGGGUUUAAAGGGUGCGUAGGCGGCCUUUUAAGUCAGCGGUGAAAGUCUGUGGCUCAACCAUAGUAUUGCCGUUGAGACUGGGGGGCUUGAGUAUGUUUGAGGAAGGCGGAAUGCGUGGUGUAGCGGUGAAAUGCUUAGAUAUCACGCGGAACCCCGAUAGCGAAGGCAGCCUGCCGGGCCAUGACUGACGCUGAUGCACGAAAGCGUGGGGAUCAAACAGGAUUAGAUACCCGUGUAGUC
rnacentral:rRNA from 1 species